rnacentral:rRNA from 1 species
CCUACGGGAGGCAGCAGUGAGGGAUAUUGGACAAUGGGGGGAACCCUGAUCCAGCGACGCCGCGUGAGUGAAGAAGUAUUUCGGUAUGUAAAGCUCUGUCAGCAGGGAAGAAAGCAAUGACGGUACCUGACCAAGAAGCCCCGGCUAACUACGUGCCAGCAGCCGCGGUAAUACGUAUGGGGCAAGCGUUAUCCGGAUUUACUGGGUGUAAAGGGAGCGUAGGCGGUACGGCAAGUCAGAAGUGAAAGCCUGGGGCUCAACCCCGGAAUUGCUUUUGAAACUGUCGAACUAGAGUGUCGGAGGGG